UCUGACUCAGAUUCCUUCUGCUGCAACUUCCGAAUCAGUUCCAGUAAGUUCAUCUGUAAAGUCAGCUCCUGGGGGUUGGUGGUGAUGUAGAAGCCGGACACCCCGGCCUUCUCCAGGGUGCUCUGCUGGUCGAUCACUUUCUGGUCCAGUUCCAAGACGAUUUUCUCAUCCAUCAUUCGCUGCUCCUCUCGAAUUCGUUGCUCCACGGCCUCCAUCUCCCGCUGCUGGGCGGCACGGAGCAGGGGCAGGUUGUGUGGCCUGCAGCACUGCUGGGCCUCCUUGUGCCGGUGGAAGAGCUCCUGCUUCAGCCCUCGGUGCUCGCUAUGCAGUUUGAGGCGCUGGCUGUAGAGGUUCUUCUCGGUGAGGUGCUGGAUCUCCAGCAGCCCCUGCACGAUCUCAAACACCGUCCCAUCCAGCAGAGCCAGCGCCAGGUCGCUCAGCGUCGUGUAGGACAAGCGCUGCUGGCAGGAGCUGGGCAGCGCCUUCACCAGCUCCUGCAGCUCGGAUAGCAGCCGGUAGUGCCUCUCCUGCUGCCGGGACAGCUCCGCCGCCGCCACUUCGUACCCAGCGCCGCCGAACCGCUCCA
rnacentral:lncRNA from 1 species